rnacentral:lncRNA from 1 species
GCAGCGGGACCUGGUACAUGUGGGGACAGCCCCGGAGGGGACCCUGCUGCCCCACGAGCGCCGGGCCUGCAGCCGCAGGGCUUUGGCUGGGGGACACGGUGGGACACGGCGCUGCCUCGUCCCAAGGCCCUGGGCUCCAGGACCCCCCUGUCCCCCCCAGCAGCCACCUCGCCCCGGGGCUCGCGGCGUGCCCGUUGUGCCCUGCGGCCGCCGUUCCCAGCGCCCAGCGCCUCCCGGAGCUGCCCCUUUUUGCCUCGUUACUCCGAGCAUCCUCCUCCGGCCGCGGGGCUGGGGGCCAGAUGGGGAGCGCGGCUCGCAGGGGCCAGCCCUGCGGCCACCACCGGCCCUGGGCCAGUCCCAGCAGCUCCUGCAGCCACGUCCCCAGCAGCCCAGGGCCAUUUGCCCGCAGCCGGGUCCUUCCCCCGUUUGCCUCCCCCCCUUCUGCUGCCCCCCCGGAGCAUUGCCGAGGGGCGAAGGCAGAGCGGGACCCGCGUAACCUCUACGGCGAAGGGGAAGGGCCGGCGGCAGCCGGUGCUCAGGGAGGGGUGAGGGUGCUGGGGGCAGCCCCGGGACGCUGCAGCUCUGCAGCUCCAGGGCUCAAGGCUUCGUUUUCCCAGCGCCGGCAGGAGGAAAUGCUCCUGGGCAGCCUGGCAGCGCCACCAGCUCCGCUGCCCGUGCCCCUGGCAGGGUGCGGGGUCCAGGGGCCGUGUCCCUGUCCUGCCCCGCGGUGGCACGCGUGGUGUCAGCCCUGGGGACGGAGAAGCGAGGGGCUGCGGGGCUUGGCCUGGCCUCACCUCCCCAGGGCUCCCCUGGGCACGGACCUGUCCCAGAGGGCCGUGUCCCCCCCCGCCGAUGUCCCCUCCAGUAAAGGAACCCGGUGCCAAUUCUCCAGGGGCCACCCCGCUCCCGGCAGAGCCGCCUGCCCCAUCCCAGCUCCCGCUCCCCACCAGCCACCCUGCGGGACCUGGUGGUGGCUGGGGACAGCCGCGCGGGGCUGGGGACACGCUGGGGACCCCGAGCAAGGCGUCACCCCACAGACCCCAGGGGAGCGCUCGCCACGCCGUGGCCAGGACUGGGGGUCCAGUGCCCCCCCCCACCAUGGCACAACCGGG